rnacentral:pre_miRNA from 1 species
GGGAAGAAUCUGUGAAGCUCAGGAGGGAUAGCGCCAUGGACGAUCACUAUGCCACUAUUAAUUGGGUUCUUUGAUCGUCAUUAGCGCUAUCCAUCCUGAGUUUCAUCGGUCCUUAUU